rnacentral:rRNA from 1 species
CCUACGGGCGGCAGCAGUGGGGACUAUUGCACAAUGGGGGAAACCCUGAUGCAGCGACGCCGCGUGAAGGAAGAAGUAUUUCGGUAUGUAAACUUCUAUCAGCAGGGAAGAAAAUGACGGUACCUGACUAAGAAGCCCCGGCUAACUACGUGCCAGCAGCCGCGGUAAUACGUAGGGGGCAAGCGUUAUCCGGAUUUACUGGGUGUAAAGGGAGCGUAGGCGGUUUAGCAAGUCAGAAGUGAAAGCCCGGGGCUCAACUCCGGGACUGCUUUUGAAACUGUUGAACUAGAGUGCAGGAGAGGUAAGUGGAAUUCCUAGUGUAGCGGUGAAAUGCGUAGAUAUUAGGAGGAACACCAGUGGCGAAGGCGGCUUACUGGACUGUAAAUGACGCUGAGGCUCGAAAGCGUGGGGAGCAAACAGGAUUAGAUACCCUUGUAGUC